GUUUUGUUUACACCAAGUUCGGCUGGGGUCUGCUUGUGACAACAUAGAUAAUUUAAAAGAAAAGGAUUUUAUAGUUUGAUAUUAUGGUUCUUGAGGACUUCACCGAAACCGUUAUCAUCUCCAUCGUCGGCAUGGUCUUGUUCAUCACGUUCGGCCUGAUCAUCUACGGGCUCGCUUGUGGGGGGGCAGGACAGAUGUUCGGAGGAGGCGCCGGGGCAGCAGCGGCCAACAGUGCAGCGCAACAGACGGCGCCCGUGCAACAGAUCUCGGCCUUGGGGUGAAUUAAAUGGAAGGUGAAUCUUCGUACAAGAAAGGCAUCAAUACUGCAACACAAGAGCAAUCAAAUCGCAUCUGGCAUUUGCAAUGUUACAUUUCACGUACAUUUUUAUACCUCUCUCUUUUAAGCCGAGAUGUAUAGUUUUAAUGUUAGUGUUCUCAAGUGUACAUCUAUUGUAUUUUUAAUUGUUGUUUUUAAAUUCGGUGUAACAUUUGAGUUGUAAAUUCCAGAAUACGAAAUUAUGUAUAUGA